GAGGGAGCCUGAGAGACGGCUACCACAUCUAAGGAAGGCAGCAGGCGCGCAAAUUACCCAAUCCUGACUCAGGGAGGUAGUGACCAGAAAUAGCGACGACGGGUUUCGAUUCGUCGAUUGCAAUGAGCACAAUGUAAAAUUCUUAGCGAGUACCGACUGGAGGGCAAGUCUGGUGCCAGCAGCCGCGGUAAUUCCAGCUCCAGUAGCGUAUAUUAAAGUUGUUGCAGUUAAAAAGCUCGUAGUUGGACGUCUCUGCGACACGCAGCUCCGCCACGCAACUAGGUUCGUCCUUAAUUGAACGGCCUAGACCUGCGGGCCCUUUACCUUGAGGAAACUAGAGUGUUUAAGGCAGGCUGAGCCUGAAUACUGCAGCUGGGAAUAAUGCGCACGACUGUCUUGGCGAGGCAGCUCCACACUUUUAAUAGGAACAGUUGGGGGCAUUCGUACUCAGCAGUCAGAGGUGAAAUUCUUGGAUUUGCUGAAGACGGACUAAUGCGAAAGCAUUUGCCAAGGAUGUUUUCAUUAAUCAAGAACGAAAGUUAAGGGAUCCAAGACGAUCAGAUACCGUCCUAGUCUUAACCAUAAACGAUGCCGACUAGGGAUCGGGAGAGACGUACAAACUCUCUCGGCACCUCACGAGAAAUCCAAGUCUUUGGGUUCUGGGGGGAGUAUGGUCGCAAGACUGAAACUUAAAGGAAUUGACGGAAGGGCACCACAAGGAGUGGAGCCUGCGGCUUAAUUUGACCCAACACGGGGAAACUUACCAGGUCCAGACAUAGUGAGGAUUGACAGAUUGACAGCUCUUUCUUGAUCCUAUGGGUGGUGGUGCAUGGCCGUUCCUAGUUGGUGGAGUGAUCUGUCUGGUUAAUUCCGAUAACGAACGAGACCUCAGCCUGCUAACUAGAUCUUCUUAGAGGGACUUCCUGCUCGCGUGGGAGGAAGUGAGGCAAUAACAGGUCUGUGAUGCCCUUAGAUGUCCUGGGCCGCACGCGCGCUACACUGACGCAACCUGCAAGUUCCAAGCCUGUCAAGGCCUGGCAAACUGCCAACUGCGUCGUAGUUGGAACUGACCCUUGCAAUUCUUGGUCACGAACAGGAAUUCCUAGUAAGCGCAAGUCAUCAGCUUGCACUGACUAAGUCCCUGCCCUUUGUACACACAGCCCGUCGCUCCUACCGAUUCCGAGUGAUCAGGUGAACCUCUCGGACCCUGAAAGUUAAGUGAACCUUAUCACUUAGAGGAAGGAGAAGUCGUAACAAGGUA
rnacentral:rRNA from 1 species